AAAUGCGAUAAGUAAUGUGAAUUGCAGAAUUCAGUGAAUCAUCGAAUCUUUGAACGCACCUUGUGCUCCUUGGUAUUCCUUGGAGCAUGCCUGUUUGAGUAUCAUGAAAUCUUCAAAGUAAAUCUUUUGUUAACUCAAUUGGUUUCUACUUUGGUAUUGGAGGUCUUUGCAGCUUCACACCUGCUCCUCUUUGUUCAUUAGCUGGAUCUCAGUGUUAUGCUUGGUUCCACUCGGCGUGAUAAGUUAUCUAUCGCUGAGGACACUGUAAAAGGUGGCCAAGGUAAAUGCAGAUGAACCGCUUCUAAUAGUCCAUUGACUUGGACAAUACUUUUAUGAUCUGAUCUCAAAUCAGGUAGGACUACCCGCUGAACUUAAGC
rnacentral:misc_RNA from 1 species